rnacentral:rRNA from 1 species
UUAUGGCUCAGGAUGAACGCUAGCGGCAGGCUUAACACAUGCAAGGUCGAGGGGCAUCGGGAGUAGCAAUACUGCCGGCGACCGGCGCAAGGGUGCGUAACGCGUGAGCAACAUGCCCGUAUCAGGGGGAUAAUCCAUGGAAACGUGGUCUAAUACCCCAUAGUAAUUAUGUAAGGCAUCUUAUAUAAUUUAAAGCUUUGGUGGAUACGGAUUGGCUCGCGUGACAUUAGCUGGAUGGUAAGGUAACGGCUUACCAUGGCUACGAUGUCUAGGGGUUCUGAGAGGAAGGUCCCCCCACACUGGAACUGAGACACGGUCCAGACUCCUACGGGAGGCAGCAGUGAGGAAUAUUGGACAAUGGAUGGAAAUCUGAUCCAGCCAUGCCGCGUGCAAGGAAGACGGCCCUAUGGGUUGUAAACUGCUUUUGUAUGGGAGCAAUAAGGGCUACGUGUAGUCCGAUGAGAGUACCAUACGAAUAAGCACCGGCUAACUCCGUGCCAGCAGCUGC